AGAUUGAACGCUGGCGGCAGGCCUAACACAUGCAAGUCGAGCGGUAGAGAGGUGCUUGCACCUCUUGAGAGCGGCGGACGGGUGAGUAAUGCCUAGGAAUCUGCCUAGUGGUGGGGGAUAACGUUCGGAAACGGACGCUAAUACCGCAUACGUCCUACGGGAGAAAGCGGGGGACCUUCGGGCCUCGCGCCAUUAGAUGAGCCUAGGUCGGAUUAGCUAGUUGGUGAGGUAAUGGCUCACCAAGGCGACGAUCCGUAACUGGUCUGAGAGGAUGAUCAGUCACACUGGAACUGAGACACGGUCCAGACUCCUACGGGAGCAGCAGUGGGGAAUAUUGGACAACGGGCGAAAGCCUGAUCCAGCC
rnacentral:rRNA from 1 species